UAAAAUUAAAAAGAUCGUAUGCUCAUACAUCUAAUGGGUGAUUUUUAGCUAUUAUAGUUUUGGCAAAACUUGUUUUGUUUCAUUGUCAACCAGUUUUGUCUAUAAUUUAACCAUGAAUCGUCUUACAAACGAACAAUAAAUAAUUGUCGAUUUUGGAGUGAAGAUCUGCCAGAAGCAUUGCAAGAGAUAUCAGUGCAUCCAGAAAAAGUCAGUUAGGUGCAGUUUCUAGGCUGGUGGCAUCAUAGGACCGUAUUUCUUCAAAGAUGAUGCGAAUCUUAACGUAACUAUUAAUGGUGAGCGCUACCAUAUCCAACUUUUUUUGUCCAAAAUGCAAGAAGUUGGCUUGCAUGGCAUGUUGUUUCAACAAGACGGCGAGUUCGGUGAACAUUUUAUUUCAUGUUCGGGACUGGUCAAUUGGCCACCUAGAUUGUGCGGUUUAACGCCUUUUGACUGGCUCAUGUCUAUAUAGACAAGCCUGCUUCAAUUGCAGCAUUGGAAGACAACAUUGAAGCAUUUAUUCGUGAGAUACCGGCCGAAAUGUUGGAAAGAGUAUGGAAAGUAUAUUGGACUAAGCGUAUGGACCAUGGAGUCGUAUGGAGUCACGGUCAACAAAAGCAUGAUAUAAUAUUCAAACAUUAGAUUAUAUGGACUAUACUAUUGAUUCAAUUACAGAUUUCAUUAAUUUUUCUGAAUUGUA